GUUGCAGAAGGCUUUGUUCCUUCUCAUGCUCCUCUCAAGAACAAUAAGCACCUUAAUAUUCCUUUCCAGUCAACUCAGCAGAGGAGAGAAAAAGACAAGUCAGAAUUACGAGGCCUAACUCCUUCAUCCUGGGAUCCGUGCCUGCGGAAUGAGGAGAAAGGGCUGGGGACCAGCCUCCAUUUGACAAAUCUGUGUACUGAGUGCAGGACUCCAGAUAAUAAUCACUUUCUGUAAUAGAGAAGAAAACCUUUCAAAGGGAAAAAAUGUGGGUAAUUUCAAGUCAUUUGGUACUUCAUCGAAUGAUGACUGGAGCUCUCUUCUCUCUUGAAGUAGCACGUAAUUUCCACGCCAAACGGGCACCAGAGACCUCAUCAAACUGUCCACUGCUGAACCGAGACCGCAAACCUCUGUGGAUUCUAAACUGCCACAUUAGUUUUUCAAAAAUAAAUAAAACCCUUUCCAGGAACAGAAAAGACUUUGCAAAAUUGUGUUCAACCACUAGAGCAAAUGGCCUUGCCUUCACCAGGAGGAUUUCUUUUUUCCUCCUAGAAUGAAACCUUUUUUUCUUUUUCUUCCCUCUCUCCACUUACUAAUAUGAAGCUCAGGGCAGGUACAAAAAAGGAAAUCAAAGUCUAAAGACCUGAG
ensembl:lncRNA